rnacentral:lncRNA from 1 species
UGGGAAAUAUUGAGGUGCUCCCUUAUCAUCGCUAGACCUCAUCUCAUUGCCACCCCUCCUCCAUUCUUCGAUAUCAUGCCCACCUCCAGAUCUGAUCUAGAGAGAGAUUAGGGAGAGAGAAGAAGAAGGAAGAGAAAGAUUCUUGUUCUUCUUCUUGGCAUCCUAUUCAAAUCCCGUCAGAUCUGCAUGAAAGGGUUCGCACAGCCUUUAUCUUCUUCAAGAUCUAGAAGAAGAGAUUCAAAUCCAAGCUAAGGAGCGAGAUCUAUAAGGUGCUAGCACUCUGAUGGCCUCAGUACUUUGAUCAGGCCACCUCCAAAUGGAUACUAGCAGG